CAGACCCACCUGUGACUGUCGGGCGGAGUGUGGAAGUGGGGGCGGACUGUUUCGCCGUCUGUUAGACUGAAGUGGUGGACUCUUGUAACCUGCUUGACAAGAAUCGUCCAAUCCGCUGGCAACUGUGAAGAAAGAUAGCAUAAAUUUCGUAGCAGAAAUGAAAUGCUUGUCAAGCCUCAAGGCCAUAUUAUUGUUAGACUCGUAACUUGAAUUGUAAAGAUACAUCUUGAACCUUGCUUUCACAAUAUAUAUCACACCUGGAGUACAAAGCAUGUGGAAGAAUGUCUUUAUUUUCCAGUCUUGUUCCAAAAAUUGAUUGGGUUGAAUAAAAACUGUUACAAACAUGGUUA